rnacentral:lncRNA from 1 species
UUUUUGGGGGUUGGUCUGAAGGGAGAGCCUCACUCCAACACGCUCAGAAGCUCUGCACUGCAACAGCUGUCGAAUGCGUCUGGCCCGGAUGCAGCGUGGAGCCGCCCGGCGACAGCUGGGUCGGACCGACGCCAUCCCAAAACCAGGAAGCCCGGCGGUGGAGGACGCCGGCCUGGAUCGCACAGCCCCGCUGCCAACUAGGACCAGGCAGCACAAACCAGUAAGUAAGAAUAAACAAAAGUAUGAAAUCACCACGAGUCAAUUAACAUUGAUGAGGGAAGUACACUUAGAAUUUUUUUAACUAGCAGAAAACCAUUAAGUGCUUGAGUUGUGGAUGAAUGACUCUCUGGUUUGCCUGGCUACCUGAAAAAGCACCUUCCCCAUCUAAUGCUGUCCAAAGCUGUCACACCGCCUCAGCUUCAUUCAGCUUGAUUAAUGUUAAGCUGUGGGGCACAGCUAGAAGGUCUAGUCUCAAUUAUGAAAAAGUCAGUAACUACGCCAUUGUGCUGAUGCCUUUAUUCUAGUGACAGCGCUGAAAAAUAGCAAUAUUUCUAAUCAGAGUUGAAUCAUUUAUCACUAAUUUAUUGGCGUUCUUUGACUCCCUGUCUCAUCCAUCCAGACCUGGUCUAUAAGCCGUGGAGCCGUGUGCUAUACACCAUCCUUGUCCUUUAUCAGUCAUUUCUGUGUGGAAAUCAUUUCAUUCUGCUCUUAUAAUAAGACAUAAAUUACCAUGUUGUGAUCGUCUUCAACGGGAAUAUUUGCCUCUGUUGCAUUAGCUGGUGUCAAUUUU